UUACUGAUAACUAACAAUCAUAUAUGGACCCAUAUUUCUUAAGGAUAUAAACAGAAUGAAUACCGUUACAAAUUGAUACUAAGUGUUUUGGGUCUAAAUAUUUAUCCACUGCCUUGAUCAGACACUUGGUUUAAAUUACCUAUAACAAUAUCUUUAGAUAUAUGAGAAAGCACCAGGAAUCCUUCCCAAACCCUCCAAUGCUCCAUCAGAUGGGUAAAAGAUCCCUACACAUCCAUUGCAUCUUUUUUCUUCAAAGAACAGCUACAUAACAGGAGAGAGGGUAAAGGGUCUUUGUCCUAUACCAUGAAGUUCUUCCUAAUCACCACUGUGUGCCCUGAAAUGCCAAGAAACUGCCAAGGAUAUUCUCUGUUGAAUGUGGGCAUGACUGUCCACCUCUUGUUAGACUGCCCAUGCUUCCAAGCAUACCACAAUUCUCUGGCAUCUGCAGGUUAAUCACAAAGACUCUGAGGAUCCCUGCUGGGCCUGGCCAUCACCAGAGGUCCAAGUACCAGCUCAGCAGCAGAACCCAAAGAAUCAGAGACUGCUGCCUUAAUUCAAAGGCCUCACAGGCAGGGACUAUAAACUGCUGGAACUUCAAAACCAGGACAGGAAGUGCCUGCUCAGCUCAAGGGACACAGGAAGGGUGGAAACAGCCUCAAUGUGGGAACUACAACGGAGACUGGAAGAACAGUGGCCAAAUGCAAUAAAUAAAUUACUAAAGGCAUCUCUCAGUGCUACUGUAUUUUUUUAAAGUCCCUUUUCUGCCCUCAGAGAUUCUCAUUCAUUAUAUGCCAAAAUAUCCUUGCCAGUUAGGCCCUUGGUUGAUUUCUUCUCCCUUAGCUUAACAAUGUGGUACAAAAAUCUUGAUCUCUAACACCUGAUUUAAAAUGGAAUUUAUAAAGCCAGUCAACCUAUUUUAAUUUUUUAAAAAAUUCUAACAUUCUCAAUGUGUUUUGUUCUCCUCCUUUAUUCCUUAAUGCUCAAC